AGAAUUCUUCCCUUUUCUUUGAGUGUGAUCCUGAAAAACAUCUAAAUCAAUAUCGAUAGGAAAAAUGGCAAGGAGGUGCCCAUUCAUCGAGCUCCCUUUAAUAAUGAAAAUUAAUUUGAAACUAAUUUCAUUGUCGAAUUCCAAUAAUUCGGAGGAAAAUAGGGAGGACGAGGCCAAUGGAAAUUAUCGUAGCUGCUUUUAUCGAGGUCCAUUGUUAUCUAAAUAUAGCUGUAGCUAUUUUGAAACCGCGUUGCAGAGUCGGGGCGUAACGCUGAUUUCGUUCAUUACUGGGUCCGGGGUGGCUUUGGGCUGUCUUUCAUGCGGUUCCAAUGAUAAUUCAAUUAUGCCCGCCAUUUACACGCAUCGCCCGGAAUGGGUCGCGAGAGAAUGAAUAUCGUAUACUCGGCUCUGGUAACACCGGACUCCAGAAACCCACCGCACGUGCUACACCUACUCUAAUGGAUAACGAAUGCGUGUCUCGUAAAAAUUUGCUUCGAGGAUCGUUUAAGUCGAUUCAGCGACCAGAUUUAUAUAACGGGUGCUCGCCAAAUACAUAGCUAAACAUCGUUUUUCAUAUUUUUCAUGCUUCAACUUUGUUACAUUGUUCCUUAAACGGGACUGUAAAAAAAAAUUCGAUCAUCGAUGUAGAGAAAAAGUAAAAGAAAUUUUAUUUUUAUAAUCGUUUGAGCGAGUUUGCAAUUUCAAUGUCUUCAAAUCAGAUUCUUUCAUUCGCAAUAUUAUCGAGGAAAGGGAACUGGAGGAAUCUUAAGAAAAAUAAGAAUUGAUAACGGUUACUUAAUUAAUCACUGUAAGAUACUAAGAUUUAUCAUGAUGGAUCGUCAAGUUUCGAGAUGAUUGUACGGAGAAAUUGCUCGUUGUCAGCAGACAAAACUCGAUGCUAAAUUAGAAAGUGGCGAGGCGCAAUCGUGUCCCCUAAGGCAGGGCGUCGAAUAGGCGAUCAGAAGCACAAAGUUAAACGGUCUCCCGACACCUUGUUGGUCGCCUACUUUUAUUCGUACACGCGACACACGGUCUCUUUUCGAACGUAAUUAUUCUUAGCAAGUGGAGAGAUGUAUCUGCUAAGCGACAAUUACUUUUUCCCCCUUUUUCCUUUAAUUAACGCUUUUUGCCGUAUUUCGCUAUUUCAUACAUGAUCACACGAUAUAUAUAUAUAUAUUUUCACACGCAUCUGAUACUCUGAUAGAUACUCUGAUCUGAUGGUUUAUUUUCCCGAUUUUGAACCAUCGAAUCUUUCCCUUUUCACCCGUGCGAUUAUAUAUCGGGUAAUCGGUCGUGAAUUUAUCGAAUCUCAAGGUAAUGGUUCACGGUUCGCGAAGUUCUAUUUGACGAAUGAGGGCAAUUAAUAAUCGGCGGCAGCGUGUGAUCUUAUGGGAUUCGCAUCGUUAACGCUAUUUGUUACAGCGUUGCAACGUUGUACGGGCGGGGUAGGCGGUCACUCGAGCAGACAGGGGGGGUAGGAGAGAAAGCGUCGCGUGGAUUUUUCCCCUUGGAACGAUCGAGAGAUCAGUCGCGAUGAUCGAUCGUGGCCGGUGAAUCGAGCGAAACUCGUUUAACUUGUCAAUCCUGUGUGUACCCGUUUCCCUUAACCCGUGACCGUGCGUAUUUAUCGUCGGAUUAAUGUCCGCAGUGUUGGACAUCCCGAGAAAGAUGAAUUUCUGCUCUCUGAUUUUUACCAUUCGCGUUAAGGUUCUCUUCUUCCAUGCCUUCUCUCUCUCUCUCUCUCUCUCUCUCUCUCUUCUCUGUCCUUUUUUUAUUUUCCCCUCGACGAAGAAUUCCGUUUAUCUGAUGGAGGUAAUGUUACGACGUACGUACAUCGAUGAAUCGUGCACCGUGCUCACCGUUGCCUUCUUCUAACCGGUGUUAGCGUAAUUUUCGCGCUCGCGUCGAGAGGUAUUACAGAUAUCAGAGGGAUGACGAGUAAUCGUUAAGUCCCGAUUCUCUGCACGGAACAACGCGUGCACGCGCGUGAACAAAUUUAAAACACGAUGAUGAAUGCAGCUUUUGUCAUCUAUUUCGGAUAUCUACAUUUCGAAGAUGAUGGAUCGAAGGGAUGAGAAAACACGUGAGUAGGGAACAAUGUAACAACGAUUAAACGCGAUAGCACGCGAGAUAUAUAUAUAUAUAUAUAUAUAUAUAUGUAUUAUAGGCGUGAUCAGUCGGCUAUUUUCUUCCGUUUUGACUGGUGUCGCGUGAGAAGUUAAUUGGCAAUGGGAGAAAAGGCUUUCAUUAGAGAGAGUCGUGAUGCAUCGUCAGAAGCGAGGCGAUACGCGUUGCCUAUGGGCAUCCAAGUCGAAGAAUACGGGGAGCUGAGACAGGGAGCACAUGGAAGGCAUGGUGCAAGAGGGAGGAGAAAGAUCGAGGGGACGAGAUUAAACGUGGGACAAAGACGGAAAUUGAGGCGUAAGGCUUGCCCGGUAGCGAUGGACUCGAUUCGUCCCGAGGAUGUAGAAUCACCGAGCUCGAACGUCCCUUUCCAACUUACACGAAUGGGUGUCUGAAAGAAGGACGUGUUUCAUAAAAUUUAUCGGUGUAAAACCAUUCAUCGCACAGCUCCUCUUGCACGAUUAUUCAUACAACUAUAUAUAAAACGUAAUAUUAUCGAGUCGACAAGUUAGUUACGAAGUCGCUUAUAGGUUAUAGAUCUUUAAACAAUUUGUUUCUUUUACGAUUUAAGUUAUUGAAUGAAAUAAUUCAAAAAUUCCAGGAAUGGAACAUUAUCGUUGAUAUCAUUAUCGCGCGAGAAACGUCCUCUUUUCCAAACACCUUCGUUCGUAUAUAAUUUUUCACGAAUAAAGAAAAAUCGAACGAAUCUGUGAAGGGAUAGAAAAAACGAGAUUUAACGCGCUUCUCUGUUCCAGUUGCGUGACUCAGCCAUUCUCUUGGAAAAUGCCAGCGAAUCCGGUGAAGAUCCGAUCGUGAAGCGUAACUUUGAGAACCUCGCGAGCCUCCUACGAAUUUCUCGAAUUCAUUAAGAUUAUUAAGUCCUCUCGUUGGGCGUUGGAACUCGAGUAGGAGGCAAGGUGGAUCGCGGACAGAAAGGGUAUGGAAGAGCGAGGAGCAGGAAGAGACAAGAGGACGACUGUGUCUGUGGGUAGACAAAAGAGGAAAGGAGAGAAUCGGAAUGGAAGUGGAAGGAGUGUACGCGGUGACUGGCAGCCUCUGGCUCCGAUGUCUCGUUUACCAUAAUACAAGGCCUUCGGUGAGGGGCAGCGCGGACGCGGAGAGGAUGCGCAGGGACCCUCCUCCUCGAAACGGUAGCAAUGUAUCAGAGGACCGUGAAAACCGCGUUGUGGACGGAUCCCGUCCGCUCAAAGGACGCGCUGCGAACACACGUGAUAUCCUGUCCUGGCCUCCGUUACGAGUCCUACCUGUUCUGCUUUUACACGACGUGGAAAGAAACGAUCGCGAGAAUCUGUUGGAAAUUGUGCCUCGCCGCCCCUCUCUCCCUCCCUCUCCCCGAGGAUGUAGUGCAAGGAUACGAUGCAGGGAGGAGGAUGGACAGGUAGGAGGAACCAGCGACUAGGAUGGAUGAUAGAGGAUUUGGCGAGGCGAGGGGAAGAAGCGUAUCGUCAUUGAUCGAAGGCGUACGUAAUCGUUUAGUUGGAUUAAAUUAACGGAUUUAAUCGUGGAGAAAGUAUCGAAUUGCUCGGCUCAUUAAUUUAAUCUUUUUUAAUUUGAUGAUCAAUUCGAUCGAGACGAUCAUGGAGGAAUAAACGAGGCAACGAUUCCACGCGGUGUGAGAGUGAGAAAAACAAGGGGAGAGGAGCAAGGUCGUCGUGGUUGUCGUCGUCGUCGUCGACGAGCGUAUCUGCAAAUUAAGCGAGUGCACGCCGCUUGCCAACUGCUCCUUCCCAGGCGUCGAAAAGUCGAGGAAAUCUUGGAAAUAUCUCGUUCGUUACACGUGAUUUCUCUACCUUCUACCCUUCGUCUUUCGUCCAGCGAAUGUCCCGGAUGCUUUCGCGCUUAACAAUUACACGGGAAUGCGACUCCGUGGUUCGCCCCGAAGUUUUGCGAGUUCUUUACGAGCCCGACUAUUUUUUUUUUCCUUCCCCGCGGAAUUUUUUCCCAACUUCUUCCCUUCCAUUCCUUUGAAAUCGAAACUUAAUCUUAUCGAUAUUAAUAUCAACGCCGAGGGAACACGUUUCUCAGUUAUAAACGCCGAUGUCGCGAACACACGAGCCGUGGAGGAGAGAGAGGGAAAAAAAAAAGAAAAGAAAAGGAAAAAAGAAAGGAAGAACAAGAGGAAGGAUAUAAAGAAGGGAGAAUACGGUUUGGAUACGCGGGGCCUCGGUUUGACGGACCUCGUCCUCCCUUUCCACCCAGAAGAAGGACGCUCUCCUCGAGGAUCUUACUCCUUCCUCCCUCUUCUCUCCCUCUCUCUUUCCUCUUCCUCCUCUUCCCUCCUACUCCCGUCUACUUCUCUUUCGGCCGCUCUGCUCGCCGUCCCUUACCAUUUCGAGGCCGCUGUCUUCGUUUCUCUUCGCUCGACCGCGCGAUCCGCACACGCCACUUCUUCUUCAGUGGCCGCUGGUACCACUCUCGGCUAGAUCGCGCCAAGCACACCUCCUCUCGUGUUUCCUUCUUCUUCUUCUUCUUAUCCACCACCACCAACAACAACAACAACCAUCACCACCCAGCGGCAUCGCCGGGGCCCAGCAUCAUCGCCGUUUCACCACCACUCGCCGCCGGUCAACACCGAGUCCACCUCCUUUCCUAUUCUUCCAAUUCAACGAUCUUUCCAAGUGAACGCGCACGCGGUUGCGCGCACGAGUGUGUCCCUUCCGGAACUUACGCCGGAUUCGCGGAUUCUUCUUCUCUUUAUCGAGUUCUCCUCCGCUCAGAUCCUCCUCCGUUCAGAUAAGAUUCGUGAUUCGUUGUGAACAAGUGAAAUUUAAAUUGAAACAAAAGUGUAUCGUGCUUGCUCGACCGGAAGGUGUUACCUCUGUUGGAGGAUGAUUCCAAGAUCCCAUUCGUCUUUCUUUCGUGUUCCGUCCAAGUUGAUAACGGAUUAGCGUUUGGAAAGAUCGUGUCUACGAGGUUCGAAAGGUGGCUAGCGAUAGCGAGUCGAAAGAUGGAGAAAUUGGUGCAGGUGGGACGGGUGGCAGGGAAGUGGAGUGAUUCGAGAUGACAGCGGUCCUUCGUUUGCACGUGGUUACCUUGACACCGCCGAUCAGAGAACGUCAGGGAAGCAGGAACUCGAGGAGACACGUGGAUCUGGCCCGAUUCAUUACAACGCGCCUAUCAUCCACUCGCACAAGGAAACGCAUUUAUCUCGGCAGCGAUCUCUUUAACAAAAAUUGAUCAAACUAUAGGAGAAGACAAGCUUGUUCCGAGAUUAUGAAUCGAUAUUUUUUUUCGAAGGAUUAAUUGGAAAUAAAUACCGGUGUUGGAAAGGAGUAGCACGUGGUCGCGUCGUAGGAGGUUCGCUUCCUGGUUCUUUUUCUCUGAAGGCGAGGUGCCGCGUUUGUCAACGCGCGAUCGGAACACGUGUUAAAUUAAUGCAAUUUCUUUCGCGACUGCGACCAUCUUCGAUUUGUCACAGGUGCUUUUCUCACUCGCCGACGCCGUGAUGGAUUAACGGUCUGGAACCGGCGAAAAAGGGUAAGAGGAAGGAGGUGUUGCGGGAAAGGAGGCUCGCGCGCGAUCUUUCACGCUUUGUUUUAGCGCAACAAUGGAGGACAACGAUCGAACCGGGUUUAAACGUUCGUUGGAAUAGCUCGGGAUUCGAAAAGUUUGUUUGUUUUUUUUCGUAACGAGAAAGAAGAUUGGGAAUUGGAUGUUCGGGACGGUAUCGAGGUGAUUUCGAUGCCGGCAAGCGAGGUGAUGACCGAGUGGUGUCUCGUGGAAGUCGACUCGGAUGCACUCCGAAUAGGGACAUCCGGAGCGCAUAACUGUCGUCUCGACUGGAAGAACGAUGGCGCGGAAAUGCGUGAAACGUAAGCGAUAUCCCCCUGCUACCUCGGAACCACGUUUGAAACGUAGCUUCUUGACGCGAUCAACGGGGAAAUCAUCGAAUCGCGGGCAAAAGGGAGGCACGGGACCUCGAGUCGGGUGAAAGGUCGCAUUCGACGCCGAUCGAGAUCGAUCCACCGUUGAUCCACCCGUCCUGGGUGGAGGACGGAGGGAGGGUGGAGGGGGAGGGGGUGGGUGACGAUCGAUUUCACGAAGAAAUACAGGGGAGGCGCGGACGCGUUCGAAUUCGAGCCACGUAGCAGCCGCCAAUCGGGCUGCUCCUCGAGGAAAUCUUUGAGGCUUUGGACUAUCAUCCGAGUGGGUGGAUGGUGUGGAUGCUUUCGUAACCAAUAAACCGAUCCGCCGGGGCUCGAUUCAAUUAGCGGUUCUCGGCGAGGAAUCGAGAACGAACAGGCUUUCCUCUCCACUCCUCUUCUCUCGUUGGAAAGG